CCUACGGGAGGCAGCAGUGGGGAAUAUUGGGCAAUGGAGGAAACUCUUACCCAGCAAUGCCGCGUGAAUGAAGAAGGUCUUCGGAUUGUAAAGCUCUUUUAUUGGGGACGAAAAAAAUGACGGUACCCAAGGAAUAAGCCCCGGCUAACUACGUGCCAGCAGCCGCGGUAAUACGUAGGGCGCAAGGGUUAUUCGGAAUGACUGGGCGUAAAGGGUGUGUUGGCGGUGUCGCCAGUUAGAAGGGAAAUACCUCGCGCUUAACUCAGGUGCUGCUUCUAAAACUGCUAGACUUGAGUGCAGUAGAGGAAAGUGGAAUGCGUAGUGUAGCGGUGGAAUGCGUAGAUAUUAGGAGGAACACCAGUGGCGAAGGCGGCUUUCUGGACUGUAACUGACGCUGAGGCACGAAAGUGUGGGGAGCAAACAGGAUUAGAUACCCUAGUAGUC
rnacentral:rRNA from 1 species